rnacentral:rRNA from 1 species
UACGGGAGGCAGCAGUGGGGAAUAUUGCACAAUGGGCGAAAGCCUGAUGCAGCUAUACCGCGUGUAUGAAGAAGGCCUUAGGGUUGUAAAGUACUUUCAUCGGGGAGGAAAAAACAAAACUAAUAAUUUUAUUUCUUGACGUUACCCGAAAAAGAAGCACCGGCUAACUCCGUGCCAGCAGCCGCGGUAAUACGGAGGGUGCUAGCGUUAAUCAGAAUUACUGGGCGUAAAGAGCACGUAGGUGGUUUUUUUAAAGUCAGAUGUGAAAUCCCUGGGCUUAACCUAGGAACUGCAUUUUGAAACUGAAAUACUAGAGUAUCGUAGAGGGAGGUAGAAUUCUAGGUGUAGCGGUGAAAUGCGUAGAUAUCUGGAGGAAUACCUGUGGCGAAAGCGGCCUCCUAAACGAAUACUGACACUGAGGGUGCGAAAGCGUGGGGAGCAAACAGGGAUUAGAUACC